AAUGGGGUGUUAAUAUUUCAGAGUAAAGUUAUUUUAACCCAGAUAGAGUAUUUUCAACAUUUUUGAGAGUAAAGUUGCUCUAUCAGUGGAGUUAAAAGUGAGUGUAAAAAUCUGCAGAUACGCAGUGACAAUUUCAACUCUACAGCAGUGAUGAAUACCCGCCACUCUGCUUUGCUGAAGUUUGGCACGUACGUUGGUGGAGGAAGAUUGCGAAGGAGUAGCUAGGCCACAGAUAUUGCUAGAGGCAAAAUGCUGUUGCGUGUUCAGCUCGGGGAAGAGCAGAAAUACGUCAAGCUGUCUGAGCUGACAUUCAAUGCUUUCUUGAAAGAAGUGUGUCUAAAAUUCAACAUACCAGAAAGCAGAAAGCCAGACAUUAAGGUGUAUGACCAGUCUGACACAGAAGUUGACUCAGAUGUUUUUGAAGAAUUAGUAAAGGAGUCACCUGGAACUUUCAGAAUCAUGCUGGGCAAUGGACUUGAUACCUCUCAUUCAUCAUCAUGCUCGGGUACAUCUGAUGACACCAUCAUUCUGAAUUUCACUGUGUGUGACGAUGUUGAAGAAGUAGCGGCUGGCGAAGGGAAGCCAGCCUAAA